GUCAGAAGCAACGAAGUACUUGAAGUUGCUUCAGAAGAACUCACCUGAUUCUUUGGAGACGCACUUACUUUCUGUUGAAGUAAAUAUGAGAAAGCAGAAGAUUUUGCUUGCCUUUCAGGCUGUAAAGCAACUGCGAAGGCUGUAAAGCAACUGCUAAGGCUGGAUGCUGAGAAUCCAGAUUCAUAUUAAAUUUUUCCAUAAAUUGGGCUCAAUGCCUGCUCCAUUAACUGAUGCUGAAAAACUUGUUUGGAGUGUCUUAGAAGCUGAGCGUCCAUCCAUCAGUCAAUUGCAGGAGAAAAC